CUUGGUCCACAGGAGACAAUAUCAUUGCUUUUUGGGUCCCAGAAGACAAGGACCUUCCAGCCAGGGUAACGCUCAUGCAGUUCUCAUUCUGCUUAGAGAUUGGAUUUUAGAAAAGUGGAUUCUUUUCAACAUGGUGGACUGCAAACUUCACUGGCAACGGCAGGGUGGUUACUUGUGUGUCCGAACACCCAGAGGAACUCUGUGUUUGUAGAAAGUCUUUAUAGGACUUAAUCACUUGUUUUCAUAUUUCACUUUUUUAUGUUUUCUGUUCUUCAAUAGGGUGUCAUCUGAGAUUUUCCACAUGAGAGAGAAACAGGUUCCUGAUGAUGUGAUAGAGAUGCAAGGUAACCAAAACCUUACAUUUUCUUAAAGUCCUUAAAGAGCAUUUAAUAGUAUACUGGACUAAAUGUAAACUCUGAUCUUUAUAAGAAAGCCAUAAUAAAUACCAUUCGAAAUACCCACAGUGUUAUAUAAGAUUGUUUUGUUUUUGACAGAAGUCUAUAAUGCUUAUCAAGGCUGUAUAUGUUUUUGAUAAAAAAUGCAGUAAAAACUAAAAUAUUGUGAAAUAUUAUUACUGUUUAAAAUAACUAUUUUCUAUAUUAAUAUAACUUAAAGUGUAAUUUAUACCUGUGAUGGUAACGCUGAAUUUUUAGCAUCUUUACUCCUAUCUUCAGUGUCACAUGAUCCUUCAGAAAUCAUAAUAUGCUGAUCUGGUGCACUAAAUUCCUUAUUAUUGUUUAAAAAGGUUUUAUUUAUUUUAUUUUAUUUUUUAUUAUUAUUAUUAUUAUUUUUUUUUUUUUUUUGCUUUUCAAAGGCUUUUACAUUUUUAUUGCUUUGCUCAUACUGGUGAUAUUUUUUUUUUUUCUGUGCUGUAUGAAUGGGGCUCUUGCAUUCGUGGACACAUUGGAUUGUACUAUUAUUUUUAUCGCGGAGCAUUACAUGGCCUCUGAUGUGGAAUGGGAUCCUACAGGCAGAUAUGUGAUGACUUCUGUUUCCUGGUAGAACCACAAGGAGGACAAUGCAUACUGGCAUACAGGGACGUCUUCUGCAAAAGAACAACAAAGACAGAUUCUGCCAUUUGCUAUGGAGACCAUACCCUCCUAGAUUAAUCAUUCAAGAGCAAAUAAAGGCCAUUAAGAAGGACCUAAAAAAGUACUCAAAUCUUUGAGCAAAAAGACAGACAGAGCCAGUCUAAGGCUUCUAAGUACACUGAACUGAACUGCUGUGAAGAGAGAACUGAAGAUGAACACUGAGCUGAGCCAGAUAAUCACAGCCUACCAUCAAAAUUUUUUUAUAUGAACAUUUUCUUUGUAUUUUAUUUAAUUUACUUAAAGCUGCGGUAGGGAACUUUUGACGCUCUAGCGGUUAAUAAACAGAACUGCUUGCGUCUUGCGGAAGAACAUUGUAGCUGGAUCUACUUCUCUCUGUUUAUGUCUAUGAAGAAUCACAAAGGUACUGGGUUACUCCGCCGCGGUACCCCUAAUACAAUCUAAAAUAGUCAGAAUAUAAACACUUAUUAUAGGUGUACCCUAGUGAUUCAGGACAAGCUAAAAACACGGUUUGUAAAAUGGAUUCAUGGUGUACUCGCUUAUUAUGUUCAUUUUUCUACAUUUUGAACACAAACAAAGUUACGGACCGCAGCUCUGAUUGGUUAUUUUUGUCUUUCUGCAAAUGGCAAUAGGACCACUGGGAGGAGCCAGAGGAGCUUGAUUUUUUCACAGAUUAUCUGUCUCAUAUUCUACUGUCAGGACAUAAUGACAGGUUUAAUAAAUAUGUAAAAAAUAUUUUUUUAACAAAAGUUCCCUACAGCACCUUUAAUGUUUUAUUUUACUUCAAUUUCCCAUAAACUCCAUAUACUAGCCUACAAGAUUGUGUAUGUUAUAUAAUAUAAUAAACAUACUAUAAAUGUAAAU